GUUCCUCCCCUCACCAAGCUCGAUCACCGCAGGUUAACUCCAGACUGCUGUGCUGACAGUGAGAAUUUCAAGCCAGUGGUUCCUAGCUUGCCGGGCUCCGUGGGAGUGGGACCUAAUGAGUGAGACUGCUUGGCUUCCUGGCUUAAGCUCCAUUUCCGGGGGAGUGGAUGGUUCUUCUGUUUUGCUGGAGUUCCAGGCACCGCUGGGGCAAAAUUGUUGAGCCAAGGUCCUGGAACUGUGAGUAAGAAAAUGACAAACCCAUCUCUCAGUGGCACCCCUACUGCAGGAGUUGAGCACUCAUUAGAGAAGAGCAGCAGGAAAUGGACCUGAAUAUCCUCUUAGCAGCCAUGACUGGAUGCCAAAUGGGACAAAGAAGGAUGUCAUGACUCAUUAGUGUAAACAGGAGGAAGUUGACUACUUCAAUUUUCU
rnacentral:lncRNA from 1 species